rnacentral:rRNA from 1 species
UACGGGGGGGGGCAAGCGUUGUUCGGAAUUACUGGGCGUAAAGGGCUCGUAGGCGGCCAACUAAGUCAUACGUGAAAUCCCUCGGCUUAACCGGGGAACUGCGUCUGAUACUGGAUGGCUUGAGUUCGGGAGAGGGAUGCGGAAUUCCAGGUGUAGCGGUGAAAUGCGUAGAUAUCUGGAAGAACACCCGUGGCUAAGGCGGCUCUCUAAUACGGUACUGACGCUGAGACACGAAAGCGUGGGUAGCAAACAGG